AAAAAGGGUCGGUUGGCUAUGUAUGCCACAUCCAUCCAUCCAUGGGUGCUGUAUGGCUAUCAAGACAUAUGGCCGGCAUAAUUUGUGGAAAUUGAUAGGGUUGGCUCGCUACGGCCGACCCUCCA
rfam:Leersia perrieri chromosome 2, whole genome shotgun sequence.